rnacentral:rRNA from 1 species
UACAGAGGGUGCGAGCGUUGUCCGGAAUCACUGGGCGUAAAGGGCGCGUAGGUGGUGGCUUAAGCGUGCGGUGAAAGCUCGGGGCUCAACUCCGAGUCGGCCGUGCGAACUGGGCUCACUGGAGCAUAGUAGAGGCAGGUGGAAUUCCGGGUGUAGCGGUGGAAUGCGUAGAGAUCCGGAAGAACACCAGUGGCGAAGGCGACAUACUGGGUCAUGACUGACGCUGAGGCUCGAAAGCGUGGGGAGCAAACAGG